rnacentral:rRNA from 1 species
UACGUAGGGUGCAAGCGUUGUCCGGAAUUAUUGGGCGUAAAGCGCGUGUAGGCGGCUUUGCAAGUCGGGUGUGAAGCCCUCAGCUCAACUGAGGAAGUGCGCCCGAAACUGCAGAGCUUGAGUACCGGAGAGGAUGGCGGAAUUCCCCAAGUAGAGGUGAAAUUCGUAGAUAUGGGGAGGAACACCGGUGGCGAAGGCGGCCAUCUGGACGGAUACUGACGCUGAGACGCGAAAGCGUGGGUAGCAAACGAGGAAUAGAUACCCC